AGGGUUAUAUUUAAUUAUAAUAUUUGAAUUGCAAUCAAAAGGUAUCCACAUGAGAUUAACCUUU
rnacentral:tRNA from 1 species